rnacentral:rRNA from 1 species
UGGGGAAUUUUGGACAAUGGGGGAAACCCUGAUCCAGCCAUCCCGCGUGUGCGAUGAAGGCCUUCGGGUUGUAAAGCACUUUUGGCAGGAAAGAAACGUCAUGGGUUAAUACCCCGUGAAACUGACGGUACCUGCAGAAUAAGCACCGGCUAACUACGUGCCAGCAGCCGCGGUAAUACGUAGGGUGCAAGCGUUAAUCGGAAUUACUGGGCGUAAAGCGUGCGCAGGCGGUUCGGAAAGAAAGAUGUGAAAUCCCAGAGCUCAACUUUGGAACUGCAUUUUUAACUACCGGGCUAGAGUGUGUCAGAGGGAGGUGGAAUUCCGCGUGUAGCAGUAAAAUGCGUAGAUAUGCGGAGGAACACCGAGGGCGAAGGCAGCCUCCUGGGAUAACACUGACGCUCAUGCACGAAAGCGUGGGGAGCAAACAGG